GAUAAACGCUGGCGGCGCACAUAAGACAUGCAAGUCGAACGAACUUAAUCGAAAGUUUACUUUUGAAGCGGUUAGUGGCGGACUGGUGAGUAAUGCAUAAGCAACCUGCCUAUCAGAGGGGAACAACAGUUAGAAAUGACUGCUAAUACCGCAUAUGCCUUGAACAUCGCAUGAUGAAAAAGGGAAAGGAGCAAUCCGCUGAUAGAUGGGCUUAUGUCUGAUUAGAUAGUUGGUGUGGUAACGGCAUACCAAGUCUACGAUCAGUAGCCGGACUGAGAGGUUGAACGGCCACAUUGGGACUGAGAUACGGCCCAGACUCCUACGGGAGGCAGCAGUCGGGAAUAUUGCGCAAUGGAGGAAACUCUGACGCAGUGACGCCGCGUGCAGGAAGAAGGUUUUCGGAUUGUAAACUGCUUUAGACAGGGAAGAACAAGGACAGUACCUGUAGAAUAAGCUCCGGCUAACUACGUGCCAGCAGCCGCGGUAAUACGUAGGGAGCAAGCGUUGUCCGGAUUUAUUGGGUGUAAAGGGUGCGUAGACGGGAAGUCAAGUUAGCUGUGAAAUCCCUCGGCUUAACUGAGGAACUGCAACUAAAACUAACUUUCUUGAGUGCUGGAGAGGAAAGUGGAAUUCCUAGUGUAGCGGUGAAAUGCGUAGAUAUUAGGAGGAACACCAGURGCGAAGGCGRCUUUCUGGACWGUAACUGACACUGAGGCACGAAAGCGUGGGGAGCAAACAGGAUUAGAUACCCUGGUAGUCCACGCCGUAAACGAUGAGUACUAGGUGUCGGGGGUUACCCCCCUCGGUGCCGCAGCUAACGCAUUAAGUACUCCGCCUGGGGAGUACGCUCGCAA
rnacentral:rRNA from 1 species